rnacentral:rRNA from 1 species
UUAAGAAUCUUGCACAAUGGGGGAAACCCUGAUGCAGCGACGCCGCGUGAAUGAUGAAGGUCUUCGGAUCGUAAAGUUCAAUAAGCAGGGAAGAAUAAGCAACGGGUAAUAUUCGUUGUGAUGACGGUACCUGCCUAAAGCCUCGGCUAACUACGUGCCAGCAGCCGCGGUAAUACGUAUGAGGCAAGCGUUGUUCGGAAUUAUUGGGCGUAAAGGGCAUCUAGGCGGGAUGUUAAGUUAGAUGUGAAAUCUCAGGGCUCAACCCUGAAACUGCAUUUAAAACUGGCAUUCUUGAGUUCGGAAGGGGAGAGCGGAAUUCCCGGUGUAGCGGUGAAAUGCGUAGAUAUCGGGAAGAACACCAGUGGCGAAGGCGGCUCUCUGGUCUAGAACUGACGCUGAAGUGCGAAAGCGUGGGGAGCGAACA